rnacentral:tRNA from 1 species
GGGCAGAUGGUCGAGUGGUCUAAGGUGCUAGUUUUAGGCACUAGUCUUCACAGGUGUGGGUUUCAAUCCCACUCUGCUCA